GAUGAACGCUGGCGGCGUGCCUAAUACAUGCAAGUCGAGCGAACAGAUGAGGAGCUUGCUCCUCUGACGUUAGCGGCGGACGGGUGAGUAACACGUGGAUAACCUACCUAUAAGACUGGGAUAACUUCGGGAAACCGGAGCUAAUACCGGAUAAUAUAUUGAACCGCAUGGUUCAAUAGUGAAAGACGGUUUUGCUGUCACUUAUAGAUGGAUCCGCGCCGCAUUAGCUAGUUGGUAAGGUAACGGCUUACCAAGGCAACGAUGCGUAGCCGACCUGAGAGGGUGAUCAGCCACACUGUAACUGAGACACGGUCCAGACUCCUACGGGAGGCCGCAGUAGGGAAUCUUCCGCAAUGGGCGAACGCCUGACGGAGCAACGCCGCGUGAGUGAUGAAGGUCUUCGGAUCGUAAAACUCUGUUAUUAGGGAAGAACAAAUGUGUAAGUAACUAUGCACGUCUUGACGGUACCUAAUCAGAAAGCCACGGCUAACUCCGUG
rnacentral:rRNA from 1 species